rnacentral:tRNA from 1 species
CCCUGGGUGGCUCAGUUGGUUGAGCAUCUGACUUCAGCUCAGGUCAUGAUCUCUCAGGGU